rnacentral:rRNA from 1 species
GAUGAACGCUGGCGGCGUGCCUAAUACAUGCAAGUCGAGCGAACAGACGAGGAUCUUGCUCCUCUGACGUUAGCGGCGGACGGGUGAGUAACACGUGGAUAACCUACCUAUAAGACUGGGAUAACUUCGGGAAACCGGAGCUAAUACCGGAUAAUAUAUUGAACCGCAUGGUUCAAUAGUGAAAGACGGUUUUGCUGUCACUUAUCGAUGGAUCCGCGCCGCAUUAGCUAGUUGGUAAGGUAACGGCUUACCAAGGGAACGAUGCGUAGCCGACCUGAGAGGGGGAUCGGCCACACUGGAAGUGAGACACGGUCCAGACUCCUACGGGAGGCAGCAGUAGGGAAUCUUCGGCAAUGGGCGAAAGCUUGACGGAGCAACGCCGCGUGAGUGAUGAAGGUCUGCGGAUCGUAAAACUCUGUUAUUAGGGAAGAACAAAUGUGUAAGUAACUAUGCACGGCGUGACGGUACCUAAUCAGGAAGCAACGGCUAACUACGUG